rnacentral:rRNA from 1 species
GAUGAACGCUGGCGGCGUGCCUAAUACAUGCAAGUCGAGCGAACGGACGAGAAGCUUGCUUUUCUGAUGUUAGCGGCGGACGGGUGAGUAACACGUGGAUAACCUACCUAUAGACUGGGAUAACUUCGGGAAACCGGAGCUAAUACCGGAUAAUAUUUUGAACCGCAUGGUUCAAAAGUGAAAGACGGUCUUGCUGUCACUUAUAGAUGGAUCCGCGCUGCAUUAGCUAGUUGGUAAGGUAACGGCUUACCAAGGCAACGAUGCAUAGCCGACCUGAGAGGGUGAUCGGCCACACUGGAACUGAGACACGGUCCAGACUCCUACGGGAGGCAGCAGUAGGGAAUCUUCCGCAAUGGGCGAAAGCCUGACGGAGCAACGCCGCGUGAGUGAUGAAGGUCUUCGGAUCGUAAAACUCUGUUAUUAGGGAAGAACAUAUGUGUAAGUAACUGUGCACAUCUUGACGGUACCUAAUCAGAAAGCCACGGCUAACUACGUG